AGGGCGAAAGCCGGGGAGCAAAGGGAUUAGAUACCCUGUAGUCCCGNCGUAAACGAUGCGGGCUAGCUGUCGGCCGGGCUUAGGGCCCGGCCGGUGGCGAAGGGAAACCGUUAAGCCCGCCGCCUGGGGAGUACGGCCGCAAGGCUGAAACUUAAAGGAAAUUGGCGGGGGGGCACCACAAGGGGUGAAGCUUGCGGCUUAAUUGGAGUCAACGCCGGAAACCUCACCCGGGGCGACAGCAGGAUGAAGGCCAGGCUAACGACCUUGCCGGACGAGCUGAGAGGAGGUGCAUGGCCGUCGUCAGCUCGUGCCGUGAGGUGUCCGGUUAAGUCCGGCAACGAGCGAGACCCCCGCCCCUAGUUGCUACCCGGUCCUUCGGGGCCGGGGGCACACUAGGGGGACUGCCGGCGUAAGCCGGAGGAAGGAGGGGGCCACGGCAGGUCAGUAUGCCCCGAAACCCCGGGGCUGCACGCGAGCUGCAAUGGCGGGGACAGCGGGAUCCGACCCCGAAAGGGGGAGGCAAUCCCGUAAACCCCGCCCCAGUAGGGAUCGAGGGCUGCAACUCGCCCUCGUGAACGUGGAAUCCCUAGUAACCGCGUGUCACCAACGCGCGGUGAAUACGUCCCUGCCCCUUGCACACACCGCCCGUCAA
rnacentral:rRNA from 1 species